UCCCACCUCAGUAACGAGCUAUCAUUCGAUAGUGCUAACAAGUUGCCUCUGCAUGUUUUAAAAAAUUAUAAAUCAUCACCUUCUACAUUACCUUCAAUCAAACAAAAUGUUUGAUCCAUACCAAUGUGGAUUUAGGGAAGGCCGGUCAACAACUGACCACCUUGCGUGUAUGGAGGCCAAUGUUCACGAGUCUUUGGUCCAUAAACAGUUGUUCUUAUCCCUUUUUCUUAACAUGGAAAAGGCCUGCGACACCACAUGGUGCUAUGGAAUCCUCCAAAACCAGUCGCGAAUGGGUAUCGAGGGUGAACAUGCUGAAUGCUGUUCAGUUAACUUUCGAAAUGUAAUUGAGUUACCUUUCGAAAUGAGAAGGAAGGGCAGUCAGCCCUUCCUUCUCGGAAUCUGGCUGUUUGCAGCUGGAAACAAGCAUCUUUACAGCGGAGGCCUACGCACUAUUGUCAGCUGUAAGACAUAUCAAGGAAAUAAAACUACAGAAAGGAAUAAUAUUUAGAUUUAUUAAGUGUUGUCAAAGUCUUAAUUUCUCUUUGAAAGAAUAAAAAUCCUGUCUUUACUGAACUUUGUUCAAUCAUCCGUGCUUUGUAAGCAUCUCAUCAAACGUAGCCACCCUGCAGCGGUGGUGGUUACGUUAGUGUACGCAAAUUUGAAUCACCCGCCGGUGCAAGCGAAAGCCUCCGUGGGGAAUUUGGGUGCCUUCUGCAGUUUCGUAAACGCAUCGUACGUGAACACCUAGCGCCAUCUCGCUUUGGAUGGCGAAGCUCAAGCACAAACAAUAAUUCAAGAUGGAUGCCUCCGCGUUCUACGGGUCAGCACGUCUCUAAGAUCACUCCUGCUCAAGAGUAGCGACGUCAUGAGCUGAGCAAUUUUUACUAAAAAUUGCUGGUGGAAAUGUGUCGGAUGGCAGCUUCUCCGGCGAUGAGCUGGAUGAGACUAGAAAUAACACCUCAAGAGAGCUAACGACCGGCAACAGGUACUGCUGACAAGGACAGCGAGGACGAGCCCAUGCCACCCCAGCCAUCUCAACCUAAACGCAAAAAGAAAGCAGAAGUGAAAUGUAUUGACAAGAAUUUUACACAUUCAGUCACCAAGAAGCGACUGCUCCACUAGAGCCUCUUAAAUACUUUCUGAAGUAUUUUACAGAAGAAAUGUUCAGCGCGCUAGCCAAGUUCACUAACAUUUAUGCUUUGCAACAAGAGGGAGAUGAGCUGCAGACCACAGCUGAUGAAAUGAAGGUAUUCUUCGGAGUAAUGAUGCGAAUGGCAGUCCUGAAGUACCCAGGAAUACGGAUGUAUUGACAAGAGGAUACAAAGGUUCCCACAAUUGCUGACCCGGUGUAAUGCAAUCGGUUUUUCAAACUCUGGGCCAUGCUCCGUGUGACUGACAUUAAUAGUCCAAGGGACCCUACAUCGACAAAUUUUGGAAAGACCAAUAAUCAGUGCAAUACAAACCCAAUGUCUCAAGCUUGUCCCAUUGCCAGUUCAAAGCAUUGAUGAUCAAAUGAUUCCGUUUACGGGAAGGGUUGUUGUGAAGCAAUUUGUGAAAGGGAAGCCUAACCCGGAAGGGAUUAAAGUGUUCGUUCGCUGUAGUGCUGAUGGCUUGGCCCACGACCUGGAAAUUUACCAGGGGAAAGGCAUGGGCAUAAGUGAGAACCAUUCUCACCUCGGCCUACGGGGUUCUGUUGUGAUAUGGCUUGUAGAACAUGCUCCACAUGGGCACAACAUGAGGGUUUACAUGGAUAACUAUUUUUCCUUUGUGCCCCUCUUGUGGGAACUGAGAGAGGUUGGAAUCUUAUGAAGUGGCACCAUCCGAUCGAACCGUUUCCUCGGAUGCCCCUUGAAAAGCGACAAGGAACUAAAGCAGACAGGGUGCGGUAGCUACGAUAGGAAGGUCAGCGAAGGAGAUAUUGUAAUAGUUAGGUGGGGGGGCAUGACAACGGUCCGGUGAACAUGGUGUCAACAAUCAUUGGCAUCGGAGAGUUGUCAAAGGUGAAAAGGUGGAGCGAGUCACAGAAACAGUUUGUCGAAAUUGACUGCCCGGAAGUCAUUUCACAAUACAGCAGCUUCAUGGGGAGGGGUGUGGACAAAUUAGAUUUUUUUGUCUUUGUACCCCCUGAAAGCCAAGACGAAGAAGUGGUCAGUCUGUGUAAUCUCGUACUUCGUGACAUUUGUAAUGGCUGGAUAGAGUACAUUCGUGAUGCAAAUGAAGAAGGCAUCUCCAAGAAGGACAUAAAAGAUGCGAUGGCCUUCCAAACGGAUGUAGCCUUCAGUCUCAUCGCAAUCACCAAAAGCAAGCGGCCCAAGAGGGGACGGCCGAGCAGUGCUGUGAGGUCAAGUGAUUCUUGGAAGGCACAUAACUACUCCAAUGCCCACAAAGUCCACAAGAUAUGAUGGCAUCAACCACUGGCCAAGGCACGUCGCUACAAACUUUGCUCAACAAUGCAAGAACCACGGAUGCACGUCGAGGUCCCAAGUUUGCUGCCGCAAGUGUGAAGUCUUUCUUUGCUUGUCUGCUGCAAACGACUGCUUUUACGAAUUUCAUACCAAAAUCUGAAAUCCUGUUUUGUAGUGCUCAACUGUUUCCAAAAAAAAAUGUUUUAUUUGCACAAGCAAAUUACCAGAAAGAAGCAGUUUCUAACCGUAAAGCCUUCCUCCUAGACAAAAGCUGGAAGGUUAUGAUUGAGGCGCGAUGUGCACAAUUGUGCAUGCAACAAAAGUUUUUGUAUAAACAAAAAAAAAACAAUUGUAGGAAACUUUUUUUUCUUUUGUGGGUGUUUAAUAAAGUUCCUUUUGAAAAGAA
rnacentral:lncRNA from 1 species